UGGAUACGAAACUGGAGGAGACAUUUAUGAAGCUUUGCAGAAUUUGACCGCUCUGCAAAAAUAUGUCACUGACCACACACCUGGGGCAGCUACAGCACAAGGCUGGCUUGACUGGCUGUUCAGCGGUUCAUGGCUGGCUGCUGUAGCAAAGCCAUUUUUUCUUCUAGGUCUCAUCAUGAUAGCACUGCUCAUAUUAGUGUUGUGUGUGUUGCCAUGUCUAAGAGUAAUGAUUUCACAGAUGAUAACAACUACAAUGACUGCUUAUGUUGCCGUGCCUCAAGAAGACCAGCAUCCCGUUGCAAUUCUGUUAGAGGAGAACUUGUACUAGCUGCUAAUAAAUGACGUGGUGAUUAAAAAUGACUUGUCAAGUGAUCAUGCACUGAUUAAAACAUUAGUAGGUUAUGCAAGUUUUCAUGCUUUUAUUUUUUUGAAUUUUCGUUUUAAAAUAUAAGGUUUUUAUCCUUUAUUUUUUGUAGUUUUAUUAUUUUUUCUUGUUUAUUCCACUUGUUAUUUCAUUUACUAUGAUUUUCAUUUACUAUGUUUUUCUUUUUAUUAUUUUCUUUUGUUUUAUUCUUUAGACCAAAUGACUGCCAUUUCUGCUAUGCUGACAUUUUGAAGAUUUUGGAAAAUUGCUUAAGAUACUUAAUAAAUAACCUUCACAGACAAUUGUUGUAUACAUUUAAAAUAAGUUAAAACAGGAGGGAAUGUUACAGGAAAAAUGAUUCUAUGUUUCUUUACCUUCUUUUAAAUGUACAAAGAUGCCUUUUGUCUGCCCUUUGUCUAUGGUUAGAUUAGUUUAGAAUUAUCUUUUUAGACUUUCUCAGCAAAGACAUACUGUUUUGGGACAUAUUGUUUUAGAUUGUUUUAUCUCUCACAGCCUUCUCCCAGCUCUCUGCUGACGAGACUAGCGCCACAUAUGGAGUUGUUUAUUUUAUUUGUUUUGUAUUUUCUUAUCCUGUUCUCACUGUCUUUCCUAUAAAAAUUACCAAGCCACUGUGCAUGGGGUGAGUUGUUCUUAGCAGCUCACCCGUGUACACGUUUGAUAAAGAAAGUAACUUUGUCUCAUUGUGUCUUUAUUUCUCCUGGGUUUUUUACAGAGUUUUCCCCCAACA
ensembl:lncRNA